rnacentral:rRNA from 1 species
AAUAGAUACCCAGGUAGUCCACGCCGUAAACGAUGAGUGCUAAGUGUUGGGGGGUUUCCGCCCCUCAGUGCUGCAGCUAACGCAUUAAGCACUCCGCCUGGGGAGUACGGUCGCAAGACUGAAACUCAAAGGAAUUGACGGGGGCCCGCACAAGCGGUGGAGCAUGUGGUUUAAUUCGAAGCAACGCGAAGAACCUUACCAGGUCUUGACAUCCCGGUGACCACUAUGGAAACAUAGUUUCCCCUUCGGGGGCAACGGUGACAGGUGGUGCAUGGUUGUCGUCAGCUCGUGUCGUGAGAUGUUGAGUUAAGUCCCGCAACGAGCGCAACCCUUAUUCUUGGUUGCCAUCAUUCAGUUGGGCACUCUAAGGAGACUGCCGGUGAUAAACCGGAGGAAGGUGGGGAUGACGUCAAAUCAUCAUGCCCCUUAUGACCUGGGCUACACACGUGCUACAAUGGACGGUACAAACGGUUGCCAACCCGCGAGGGGGAGCUAAUCCGAUAAAACCGUUCUCAGUUCGGAUUGUAGGCUGCAACUCGCCUAC